AUUUGAAAUGUGCCUUGUGCCCAGGGCCCAAGUAGAUUCCUGCUUUUUCUCCCAGGGAAUCAGACUGAUUUAGCCUGUGAUAGGCAGAGCAGCUGGGCAUCUCCAGGGCAACCCGCGCACUUCAUGGAGGGGAGAAGGCCUGCAGAUGAGAGAACAAAAGCCACAGAGGAUAGGCUGCCUGCUUCGAACAGCUCUUCUCCGAGGCUGGGCCAUGAAUGAUGCCACUUCUCUUCCUAUGUGGAGAGCCCAGUGAGAAGUAUAGAGAAGGGAAGAUGUUUCUCCUUAAAAUUCAGCCAAUGUCGCAACUUCUAGUUUCAAGCCUGGGAAAAAUUCAGGGCUAGGGAGAGAAGUCCCCUGCCCUCUCCUCCCAACCUAGUGAGAACGAACUUGAAGGUUUGAGGAAGAAGGCUGAAUGUAAAACUGGCAAACAGUCUGGACAAAUGCCAGAGAGAAGUGCUUGGCUGAAGCCAGCACUUAAGGGCUUCCUGAGGAAUGAGUGUGGACUGGCUGGCCUCAGAAUAAAGGACUGAGACAAAGCAGAUGCCAGAAGUCUAUUGAAUUUUCACUUUGUUGUUUCAGUAUCCUCUUAUGCUUAAUGUCUUCAGUCUUUUGCUUCUGGCUAUGAUGAAGUUACUGAUACAAGGCUAGCCUCAUGCCGUCAACAACCAUGAAACUGAACAAAAUACAUGUGGCAACGCUUUCCAGACUGUGGAAAACAGGCAAUGCAAGAUUGAUCCCUGAAAGAAAGAAAAAUCACAAGAGGCAGGACUGGAUUGCAACUCUGACUUGGAUGGACAGAGCAGCGUGCAGAGGCUCGCAUCAUAAAUAUUAGCUUCAGAAUGAGUGCAAGAGCAAAGCAGGAAUCCCGAGAGGACCAACAGACCCUCUGAAGGAAGCAGAUUGUUCCUGUAGGACCCAGGAAACACACCAAAUACUGUGAGUGCCCAAACCGUGGAAGUGGGAAAGGGACAUCCUCCACCCCCGAAAACACAUCCCCACUGGGGAAACUGAAGAUCUAGUUUGCAGGAGAAGUUUCCAACCUUACCUGGAGCCGAGUCAAUUUAGAGAGCUGAGUGAAAUACAUGGGGUAGAGGAAGCAGCAGGAAAGGUCCUGGGAGCUGGCUGGGUCCCCA
rnacentral:lncRNA from 10 species